UACGUAGGGUGCGAGCGUUAAUCGGAAUUACUGGGCGUAAAGCGUGCGCAGGCGGUUUUGUAAGCCAGAUGUGAAAUCCCCGGGCUCAACCUGGGAAUGGCAUUUGGGACUGCAAGGCUUGGGUGCGGCAGAGGGGACUGGAAUUCCUGGUGUAGCAGUGAAAUGCGUAGAUAUCAGGAGGAAUACCGAUGGCGAAGGCAGGUCUCUGGGCUGACACUGACGCUCAGGCGCGAAAGCGUGGGGAGCAAACAGG
rnacentral:rRNA from 1 species